GGGGCUUUGGACAAUGUUUUAGUAUAACUAAUGAUUGUAUACCUAUAUAAGAAUAUAUAUACCCAGGGCCCACUAAAAUCAAAAUAAGUUUUGGGCCCUGGACCUAUGUCCCAUUUGUCCUCUCCUAGCCCUGGCACUGAACAAACACUAUCUUCUAAAGUAUAAACUUUCAUAGAAAUCUAAGAUUGAAUAAAUUGAAGAUACAUAUAAUUCACUAAAAAAAUUACACUGUAAAUUUAAAAAUUCAAAUUGAGUUAAUAGUUCACUUCAAUCCCUGUUCUGGUUGUAAUUGCAGUCAUACUGUAACAGUAAUAUUCUGUCAUGUUUUACUUUACCAACUACUAAUAUAAUUUAUACUUAAAUAAUGUAAACUAUUUAUGAGGUUUAACCAAAGUUAUCUAUCAGGUUGGAUUAUGCAUCUAUAUCACUCGUGUAUUUCUGUGCCGAAAUGACGCUUGUAUUGAAUUAUUAGUGUUAGUAGUCAUCAACCGAGUUAUAUGUAAAUCAUAUGAAAAAUUAUCAUUUUUCAUAUUUUGUGCUUAAACAAUUACAUGUACAUAAAAAAUGUCAAGCACCUAAAUUAUAUAGUUGAAGUCUGUAUCUUGGGGAAAAACAAAAAAUACAGUAUAUCAAAAAAUGCCAAAUACAUAUUUUUUCUGUGCACUGUCUUGCCAAUUUAUUACAAUUGAGUUUUCGAUUUUCCCAUUUUCUGUAAAGAUAUAACUGGUUGAGAAAUUUUCAUUCGUGGUCUUAGAAAAAUUUUGAUUUCUGAAAGUCUAUCUAUUGGGGUAAAAAAAAAAGUAUCAAAAAACCACCAUUAAAUUUUCUAUUCCCCUUCCUUACGUUUAUCAACGUUUUGCAGUUAGAAUUUAUAAUUUCCAAAAGCAAUAUAUUUAUUUUAAAUAUUAUAAUAUAAAAAGUAAUAUUAUGGGUUAGUUUUAAAUAAUAUUAUAUAGUGCCAUAUAAUAGGUACUUACACUAUAUUACAAUAUCAUAGACUAUAUUAUAUAUUCAAUGAUAAUAUUUUAAACGUUUUAACAAAAAAUAAUAAUUUGAGCAAGUUAUCGAAAUCUGCAGUCCAUAAUCAAAAGCAGUGGUGUAUCCAGAAUUUUUUUUUUUUUGAGAGAGGGGUAGUAAAAAACUAUUUUACAGCUCUAAUUAUAUAAAAGUUGAAAUUUUCAUCAUUUUUAAAAAUUAUAAAUGUAUGUUCAUUUUUCGUUUUGAUGUUUCAGAAAAUUAAUCUAUACAUCAUUGAUAUUCACGUUGAUAUUUUGUAUUUUGGUAAGGCUAAACCAUUUAAACGUAUUUGUCCCGAAGAAUUUCUCAAAUAUGUUUUCAAAUGACGGAGUCACCCCUGGCAGUUUAAAGAAGUUUAGAUAUCAAUGGAUAAACAUCUGAACUAGUUUGGAAGUAAACUUCAAUAGUAUUUUGUUCUUGAGUUCGGAAGAUGUUAAAUUUGAAUCGUUACAUUUGGACCAAUUGAAAUCAUUAAUGUAUUCGUUAUUUUUGGGCCUUGUUGUAAAUUGGUUAAAAAUUAUCGUAGAAAACUGAAAUUUCUAUAGAAUAGGUACUUAUAUUAAUAUUUUUUUAGACGUGAUAAUAUUUUAAAAUUAUUCUGGGGAUUUUUAAGCUAUUUAUCGGGAUUUGUUUAGUUUUUUUUUUGGUAUGUAUAGGUAUGUAUAGGUACCUAUACCUACUAUGUGAAAUUGUGACUUACGAGGACGCCACACCGACUACUUUUUCCGUCUUACAAACGCGAGACAGCAAAUUUGCAUUCGGUAGGACACAUUUUGUAACGUUGGUUUUAAUAUUAUAAACCAAAUUAACUUAUUAUCGAAGCUCAUGAGGUACCACCAGUACAAAUUUUUCUAAGAGAAGCGGCAAGAAAGUUGUUUAAUUUGGAUGGCCAAGGGCUGUACUGCAAAUAAAUCAUGUAAGACCAACUAAUGUAAAAAAUUCGGUCGACUUUGUAACUCAAAGUUCCAUAAUAGUGGUGUGUAAUAAUAAUACUAUGUACUUAACAUUACAUUUUGUUAACAAUUAGGCGUCAAGAGGGCGCACAAGCAUCGGACUUGUGUAUCACAACUGUGUCCUUUCAACAAAUCGUUUACGAACGACCAUCCAAUAACUUCGGGACAGGCCCGAGUUUGUAGAGUUCGCCGAUAAAUCUAUAAACGACAAAACACGUAAAUAAUAUCGCAUAAAAUGUAAAACAUUCGCGGUAUGUAUUAUAUUUCUUAAUAUCGACAACGUACUUGCAAUUCGUUACGAAAUAAUUUGUUUGGCCAUCCGACGGCCUGCAUUGCGUCGUCUAUUACAUGAUUAUUGCGUAAUUACAAUAUAUUAUUAAACGGUAACCGGAAUUUAAUAUUCGAUUUUGUGUCGGUAACCAGUGUUGUGUAAAGAAUACUUUGAAAAAAUAUAUACUUUUUUUUUAUAUUAUAAAACGUGAGCUAUCCGUCACUUGCGAAUGUCCGAAUGACGGUCGAGGCGAGCACGACUUGAAUAAGUGUCCUUAACAAAUAAAUAAUAAUACUAUAUUAUCAUCUAAAAAUCAAACAAUCAUUUUGGGUAAAACCCAAAACACACACACACUGACACUGCUAGGUUAAUCGUAAUAACUGAUCAACCAGAGGCGUAGCUAGAAAUAUUCUUCUGGGUAGGCCAGAUAUAAAAAAAAAAAUAUAAAUGUUUUUGUGUUUAUGAUUAUUAUAUUUGUCUGUUAAUACAAAUUUUUGAUUUUAAAAUGUUGUGUGCAUUUUCGAAGAAAAGUGGAUAGUCUACGGUAUGUGGUAGAUUGUAGUGUGCAUUUCAAAUGGCUACAUUAAACUCCUACAAAAAUGACCUUUUUACCUGUAUUUAAAACAUAGUGUAAACCCUUACAUAGUCGGCCUUUUUUACCAGCCAAAAAUAGAUUGUGUAAUCUCCUCCAUAGACCUUUUUACAUUUUAGAUUCUUAGUGUAGCGAGGAAUGUAUAUUGGUUUUACAAUGAUGUUUAUUUGAGAUAGUUGCACUUAAGUGGGAAAAAACUUACGGUUUUACAAUUUCAUUAUUUUAAAUUAUGAACUUAUUAUGACUUACGAAUGUAAUAUAAUAAAAUGUAAAAUCAAAUUUAGUAAACAUAUUAUAAGGCAUCAUAUCGGAAAUUCUCGGAUAUUUCGAUAACGUUUACGUUAUUUCAGCAAAUAGGAAACGUAACAAUCUUUAUCUCUUAUUUUUGUAAUUUAUGACUGAUUUUUUCUUAUUUUAAAAUACAUUAUUUUACUUUUCAGAGCUAUCUAGUGUAGGAGUUAACACUAUCUUUUAUAGGAGUUAACACUAUCUUUUGUAAGAGUUAACAUUUUCAGUUAUAGGAGUUAACACUACGUAAAUGUAGGAGAUUACCUACUUUUGUAGGAGUUUUCCAUCCCCGUUUCAAAUAAAUGAUAAACUAAUAAUCAAAUUAUAUUUUAUAACCCAGUUAUUCGGCAAUAUUAUUAUUAUCAUCUUUACCAAAAUCAUAUAAUUUAUCCGUAGCCAAUUACGUGGCCCGUGUAAAAAGACACGACGGUGUCGUGUACUGUCUACAUUCUGCAGGGUACCUACCUAUAUUACGAUUUUGGUCGUUAUCGCAUAUUUUAACGACAAUUCCAAAAUAUUUUAAAUUGAAAAGUUAGAAAAUACUGUAACAAAAUAAUUAAAAUGUACUUCGAUACUUAUAAAUAAAUAGUAUUUAAUACUUGUAAAAGUAUUUAUUUACCAAUACUCAAUUACAUUACAACGCUGUUUUCGUAAUCUUGCAGGACUCUUUCAACUUGUAACAUUUGGGCAACAAAGCCGUUUGAAAAGCUGGUUCAGAACCGGGACGCGCACCGCAUUUCCAGGGAUGAAAACUGUUUAUAGUACGAAAUCGUUUUGAAUUAGUGUGUAAAAAGAAAAAAACUAAUUCGUUAAUUUGGUUUCUUUGCGAACAUUUAAAAAAAUAUCUUUGAGGUAGGUGUGAUAUUAUAUUAUAUUAUUUUAUUUUUUCUAAAAAUGGGUUAUUUGUUUAUACAUAAAUAAAAAUAUAAAUUGAAAUUAUUAGUUUGAGUGGUGAUUAAUUUUCCGUUGAUGUGCUGAUCAAAAAAAUCCCUCCCUCCUAAUUAAAACUAAAAUUACGGCAUUGUGAAGGAGGGUGUAGAUACUUAUAUGGUAUAACGGUUUCAUAUAAAGUGUAAAGUAAGAAAAAGUAUAAAAUAUUUUAGGCUCCGGUUAUUCCUUUAUGUCACGGUGGCCGGUUGGAGUUUGAACCGCCAUAGACGGUAAAUACGAAAAUAUGCAGGCGCAUAACCAAAUUUCGCCCAGAAUCGUUUUUCGUUAGCAAUAUGAUUAAUCGUUACGUAUCAUUACAAUUACUAUAACGCUCUAUAUCCUACCUUUCCAACCUCUCACUUACAAUGGGUCUUUUUACAACCGGUGUUUACAACGUUGCGUUCAAAAUUAAAAAUAAGCUUGGAACAACUAUAUAGACAACCAUUUAUUGUGUUCAAGAUUUUGCCGGUUUUUCGAUUCAAGAUUGUGAUGGUCUCUCGAAUGAGUGUUGUGAGCGCGAUAUAAUUUCGUUUCAAUCUCUGUGUUCUCCCUCGAUGAAAACUCCGUUUCAAAAUUCAACGGAAGAAAUUAGUUUUGUGGCCAGCCCGUAUUAUCUUAGCUCGUGAUGCGGAACGACAGCUUAUCAUUUGAUGGGAAAAGUAUCUCGCUCGGCUUGUGUCGUAUACCUAGCGCUUAAUAAUGACGACGGUCUGGACACCAUAGGCCUGAUAAUAUGUUUAUGGGUCUAUGCUGAAAACUGCCAAAUAAUAAUAGUACACUCGUAGGUAUAAAAAACGAUUGUUCGAUAUUGACAUUGUUAAUAUGUGCGCACAUCACGGUUUUGUUGUUUUCAUUUACUCGC